rnacentral:lncRNA from 1 species
AUGUUAAUAUGUAAAUAUGAUAUCUUACUCCUUAGGCAGCUUUGGGCCCUUCAAGAGGUGAGCUCCUGUGUGUCUCCCUCCUGCUCCUGCUGUACCAAGGUAGAUUCUAAAAUGCCUCAGUGUGAUCAACUUAAGCCAGUACCAAUGCCUCUUCCGUCAACAGAUUCUUCAAAUGACUGUGGUUCUGUGACAGUAAAUAAGAAAGAUCUGUAUGGAGACUACAGAAAUCUGGCCUCUUAA